ACCUUGAGGUUUCUUCUGGCCUCGGCUUCCUCUCACAACAACAAGGGUUGGUUCCUCGAAGGGCAAGGAUGCAUCACUGUUCGUGAUUUUCCAUCUCGGCUGCCUCUCGGCCUUCCCUGCUUGGGUGGCUCUUAACCCACAACCAAGGAACCCAGUGUCCUCUGGAUCUGGUUCUGCAUGCACUCUCCCAGCUCCUGCUGGUACAUGUUUCCUGGGUCCUGACGCUCGUUUGCUGACAGGUCCUUCCUUCCUCGUCAGACCCUGAGCUUCUCCAGCUGCGUGACACUGAUGUCGUGGAGGAGCAGAGCUGGAGCAGAUCACUGGGGAAUCCGUGUCGUCAUACAGACAUCUCUGCGUCAUGUUCCAGCACAGAUAGAGCAUUUGCCUUCAACAGGGAGAAGAAGGACACCUCUUCGGGUCCAGAAGAUGUAGGGAAACCUGAGGUUCAAGAAUUUGAGUGUAUUGAUCAGAUGACCCUCCCUGAAGCCUCAGGGUCUCCCUUCUUCCCAACCAGGUCCUGACAUUGGGCAGCAGCCUCCCUUGGGUUGAGGGCUGCUGUCUUUAGGACUGAGUCUUGAUCCAUGGCUCUUUUUGGUUCUCUGGCUGCAGGAGAGGAGAGUGUCUAUAUGGCACCAAGGAAGCCCUCUUUUUGUCACUUUUUUUUAAAAUUGGAGAUCUUUUCAUUGCCUUGUUCUUGGCAAGAGCUGCCUGAUUCCGUAAUGCAGAUGGUUGCUGCUCUUCCCAGCCACUCCGAUGCCCUGGAUGCGGCACCCAGCAGUGUGUUUCUUUCAUUGGGCUUCCACCCUGGCUCAGUGCUACUACUGCCUGGCAGGGCUGUGGUGCCACCAGUGAUGUGCCACUUGGCAUUCUGUGCUCAACCCCACCAUACAGGCUGCUCCUGGAACACUUCUGGCCCCACCAUCUUCUGCUGGGCUCCCCUGGACACAAACUCUGAAGCAGAGGUUUGUGUGCAAGAGGUUAUUGGGAGUGUUCUCGGAAGAAAAGUCCUGUGAGCGUGGGAGGGAAGAAGGAUCGGGCAGAGGAGUAUCUUGACCACUGUGCAGGUCUGCGGGGCCUCGGCUGACCCUCUGGGAUGCUCAGCAGCUGGGGCUGCUGGUUAGUUGUCUUGAUGGAGGCAGAGCCUUGGUCUUGGGGACUGGGGGCAUCUGGAUGGCGCACGACAGCACACCCUACAGAAGCCUCUGAGGUCUCAGAGUUAGAGGCAGCAACGGUGGAGUUUGAGCCAAGGAAAAGCUGCUGUCCUAACUUGCAUGUUAAACUCGCAGUAAACACCAUGUAUGGAGGUCUUGACGGGAUGAAGUCAAGCAGGUGACGAGGACCUGGAAGGAGACUCAGGUAGCCACGGUGAAGAAUGCUUAGUAACCCUUUUCACGUGUACCUAAGCCUUUUUUUUAGGAAAUGAGGAUAAAACAGUGAAAAACCAGGCCUUGUCUUCAGGAAGCUUGUGUUCUGGUGUGUGCAGGGUGUGUGUGGGCUACCCAGAUGGGGGAGGGGGGAAGUCAGGGGAGACACA